CAAAGGAAUUGACGGUCCCGCACAAGCAGCGGAGCGUGUGGUUUAAUUCGUUGCUACACGAAGAACCUUACCUGGGUUUGACAUAGCAGUGGUAGGGAAGCGAAAGCAGACCGACCUUCGGGGAGCUGUUUACAGGUGUUGCAUUGGCUGUCGUCAGCUCGUGUCGUGAGAUGUUCGGUUAAGUCCGCUAACGAGCGCAACCCGCGUUGUGUGUUACAAGUGUCACACAAUACCGCCGGUAUUAAGUCGGAGGAAGGUGCGGAUGACGUCAAGUCAGCAUGACCUUUAUAUCCAGGGCUACACACACGCUACAAUGGUCAGCACAAUAGGUUGCCAAGUCGUGAGACGGAGCCAAUCCUCCAAAGCUGGCCUCAGUUCAGAUUGUAGGCUGCAACCCGCCUGCAUGAAGAUGGAGUUGCUAGUAACCGCAGGUCAGCUAUACUGCGGUGAAUACGUUCCCGGGGCUU
rnacentral:rRNA from 1 species